rnacentral:lncRNA from 10 species
AGUGGAACAACUGGAUAUACAAAUAUGAAAAAAAGUGUCUGGAACACUUCUUCACACUAUACAAAAAUCCAUUCUAGGAGGGAUUAAGUCCUUACUUUAAAUAUUUUAUGAUGAAAAUGUUUAAACUUACAAAAUAGUAGAGAAGAAUAAAAAUAAUUUUACAUAUAUGUUUUUCUCAACUAGGGAGACAACAGCACUGGGCAAGCAGGACGUAUGGAAGUUAUGUACUGAAAGACUGGUGACACUAGUCAAGUGAAUAACAGUAGGGCUGGCUGGGUAACAUGUGAGCUGGAGAGGAAGAGAUGAAAUGGUAACACUUUUGGCUUAGAAACUUGGAACAUAAAGAAUGAAGAAAAACCAGAAGGAAGAGUUACUAUCUGGCAGGAACACAUUUUCCCCCUUAGCCCUGAAGAGUACGCAGACCAUUGUUAGCAAGGAAGCUAGCUUGUUUUUUGCACCAAAGGAAAGCUAAGGGAACCUCCUAAAAUGCCAUGUACGGGUAGAGAAGAGAUCAUGGUUGAUAACAACAAACAAAAAGCUUCCAUGAAAAUCUAUAUAGGCAGACUUCAAAGAUAUUGGAGAUUUGGUUCCAGACCACACCACAAAGCAAAUGUUGCAAUAAAGCUUCCAGCUGACUGGAUGGUAUCUACACACGUUGAGGGUGGCUCUUCCCCCACUUAGCCCAUCUAGACUCACACACCAAUGUCCUCUGAAAAGACCCUAACAGACAUACCCAGAAAUAAUGCUUUACCAGUUCUCUAGGUAUUCCUUAAUUUACUCAAGCUGACACGUAAAAUCAGCCAUCACAAAAUCACCCGUUGUCAACUUUGCACCCAUUUGUAUCUCCUUAAAUCAUAAUUUCCUGCAUACAACCAAAAAUGCACUAAUUCCUUUCUAGAAGAAAAGAUAAAGUCAUUGGGUGAUGUUUACUCUUCUCCUGAUAUCCCAUAACAUAUACUAUACUUUUUUUUUUUUUGAGACAGUCUUGCUCUGUUGCCCAGGAUGGAGUGCAGUGGCAUGGUCUCAGCUCACUGCAACCUCUGCCUCCCGGGUUCAAGCAAUUUUAGUACCUCAGCCUCCCGAGUAGCUGGGAUUACAGGCAUGCACCACCACCCCCGGCUAAUUUUUGUAUUUUUAGUAAAGACGGGGUUUCACCAUGUUGGCCAGGCUGGACUCGAACUCCUGGCCUCAGGUGAUCCACCCGCCUUGAUCUCCCAAAGUGCUAGGAUUACAGGUGUAAGCCACCAUUGCCCAGCCUAUGAUAUAAAUUUAACAAUACUUAAAUACUGAUAUAAAGUCAAUAAAUUUUAUGUUACAUGAUAAAGAAAUAAAAGAAAGAAUAUGUACUUAAUAUUGAAAGCCACCAUUUUAGCUAAUAGUAAUGAUUCAGAGAACGUUAAGAGGAUAUACUUUCCAAAUAAUUAACCAAUGUAGUUGCUCAAUAAAUAUUUGUUGAAUUAAAUGAAUAACCAAUGUCUCAAAUCCUAAGGCUAGUGAAAUAUUAUGUAGGAAUUCUGUUUAAACUAGUGAAAUAGAGAUUUACGUAUCCCUCAGUUGAUACUGCUUAUGGACUUGCUAGGAAUAAAGCCAGCUGUCUUUACAGUCUUUCUAUAAGAAGUGUAAGACCAUAGCUAGUUCUUCUGUUAUUUAUUGAAUCAUAUACAGUGUAGGUUUAUUAAUGUCUAGAUCAGCUAUAAUUUGAUCAUAUGUGUAGAAACUUUUAUUAAAGUCUAAAAACAAUAUUCUUGGAGUAAAUGUUAUCUGGACAGUACAUUUCCAAAAUAGAUUCUACCUAUUAAAUUUGUAGGUGUUGUGUUACAGAAAAGUAAGGAGUAUUCUUCUUAUACAGGUCACAAAAUAACAGUUACAGACCUGAAUUUGGGAAAUAAUUUAGGACUGUCAGAAAGCUCUACCAGCUGAGAGGUUUUAGCAAAAUAAUAAUUAAUUAUUUCAAUUUCCCAUCAAGCCUUCUACAAUUUACUCUGUACCUGCACCCUUGUGUGUUACCAUCACAUUCACAUUCUAGCACAAC